GGUCUGAAUGAGGAUAGCUGGAAUGCGGCUGGAGCAUGCCUGGAGAGGGAUUUAGGAGGGAACGCGAGGCGUCUAGGACGAUGGGGAGGGUGGGCACGCCAUCACUGAGGUGGACAAUAUUAGGGCAAGGCACAGCGAGUUGGAGGUGCGUGCGGGGCAAGCCAAGUGGAACUCUCCCGCAAGCGAUGGGAAGGGCGUUCCGGGACCGCAGGCGCAGAGCUGAGUGGGAGGCGCCUCCUGUGGGUGGAUACGAACCACUGACAGCAAAGGAGCUGGUCCAGAGGGCCGAGGGAGAAGGAAAUGAGCGGGCCACCUGGGGUCAAGGAGGAGUGGGAUUGGGGCUGGUAGGGGAAGGAGAGGGCAGGGAGGAGAAGGACCACGCAGACUCCAAGCGGCCUCCGGCGGUCUGCCCGCUGCGUGUUGGGAGGGCCCCGGGCAUCGGAGCCGAUGUUGUCACCUCGGGUCUCCAGGCGGGGUUGCAGGCGGAGCCCCGAGUGGCACCCGGCGCAGGCAGGCGCGGAAGAGCCCACCGAGGGAGGGCCUUCCCGCCUACCCUCUAGCAGCAUUGGAGAGCCCGGCACCCGCGCGGCUGGAGUAUGGCCCCGGACGCCUCCUGCGCGCGGCAGGACAGCCUGAGCCAUCGUCACCACCCCAGGUUCCCCGUGCAUCCAGGCCGCGCCUCCCCUCGCCGCGCCUCCCGGCCCGAGGGCCCGGCUACGUCACUGCGGCUCUGACGCGCGCUAAUGGAGGCACGGGCGGAGGCGGCGGGGCGCGGGCUUCCUCCCGGGAGGUCCCGGUUCUUGCAACCCACCGCCGCGUCCUUGGCCCUUCUCCAGGGGAACCUCGAUUUUCCAAAUUCGGGAAGGCUGGCUGUCCUUCGACUACUGAUAAGGACGCGAGCGCAUGGUAAAAGAUUUUAACAAUGCCCGGAAAGAAAUAGCUGGACCCGAAAAAGAGACUAAUAAUAGCCACCAGCUAGAGCUCUGCUCGUGUGCUCAGCGCCCUUAAGAACAAUAAUGACGACAACAACCAUAAUAGCUACCAUUUAUUGAGCGCUUACUCUGUGCCAGGCACUGGGUUAAGCGCUUUGCAAGCAACAACCCUCGGAGGUAAGUACCGUUAUUAUCCCUAUUUUGCAGGAAACCGGGGCAGAGAGGUUAAAUAACUUGCCCCAGGGCACACAGCUAGCUGAUGCCAGUGCCAGAAUUCCAACCCAGGUUGUCUGAUCCCAUGUAAUCCUCAUGUCCACCCAUUAUGGUCGGGAUCAUCCUCUCCAUCUUAAAGAUGAGGAAACUAAGGCACAUGGGAAUGUAAGUACCUUGCCCAAGGUCACCUAGCUGGAAAAUGGAUGAGGCAGAAAGCGAACCCAGGGCUCCUCUCUGUCCGCAGAACCCGCGGUCUUGGCCUUAGGCGAUGCCACUUCCAAACCACCUCCGAUAGCCCAGCAGGCUUUGGCCCCUGGUCCCAAGAGGCGCAGCCCCUGAUAGGUUUGGGUGAGUUCCUGUGGCCUCCGAUCCCCUGGUGCAUCGAGUGUUUCCGAGCAUCGUCCCUGCUUGGCCCUCUGGUUUAGGAAAGGAACGCAUCUGCGGGAAUCUCGUCUUGGACCUGGCGCGCGGUCCUGGGAAGGAAUGGAGCGGGGGCGGGUGCAGAGGGAGGGAUCCAGAGUCCCACUAGCAGAGCCGCGGAGCCUGGCCCAGGGUUUGCCCCGCGCAGCCGGCAGAGGGCGCUGCCGCACGCGCCUAGAGUCCCACGGUCACCAGACCUAGGGGCAGGCAUACCUCCACCUACGGAUGCCUGGACUCAACCCUGGAUCAAGAAGCUUUCUUCCUGGGGGCUGGCACCCUCAGAGCCCUCCCCACAGUACUGGAUCUGCUUUACCUGACUUCGCUUCCCCCUCUUUUGCGCUUUUGUCACCCCACCAUCUGCCUCCAAGGCUUCCCCACGCCCUGCACCACGGAUUGAUUCACCUCCUGCUGAGAGGCGAGAUACUGAUCCCAUUCCAGGCCCUGGAGCUCGCAAAUCCAACUCGACCUUGUCUUCCCUUCCGGUGGGCCCUUGGGUGAUUUAAAAUGGGGACGAAUGGAAUCAUCCUCUUGGAAUAGAUAACGAAUUUUCUUUCUUUCUCCAAAAUUAGAGGGGUGGUGGUGGUUAAGAAGGAGUAGACAGAUGAAAGGUUCUAUUUUCAUAAUAGCUACCGCCUAUUGAAGGCUUCUUUUGGGCCAAGCCCUUUAUAUGUCUUAACUCAUUGAUUCUCACUACAGCUCUGAGAGGUCUGGGUAUUGUUCCUACCUGAUGGAUGACUAUGUCAGGAAACUGGUAAGUAGCAAAGCUGGGAUUCCACCAGGAGUAUUUAGAUUUUAAGUCAUGUCCACGUCACCCAGGAUGUACAAGGAAACACAUUGAUCAAAAGAGGUAGGAUAUACAACCUCAAACUAACUAAGAGUGCCCCAUUGAACUGAGGACUGACUAGCUUUCUGGGCUCCACUUUGGGACUCAAAUAUCUGAAACAGAAAAACAAACCCUAAAGGUGCUAUUGGAGACUAGGACCAAGGUUUUUCGCUUCUACUUGGAAGAGCAUCCGGAGAGGCCCACUCACUUUCUAUGUCUGGGCUCUAAGGAAAUAAAGGUGGUUCUAGGAAAAUCUGAAAAAUAUGGAAGGAAAAAAAAAUCCCUUCUGUGGUUUUUGCUUUAACCAAGUCUCAUUUUGCUAUUUGCGUUUCAUUUUAAAAUUAAUGUGGCUCUCCCCACCCUUUAAAUUGGCACAUAAAUAGCAAAAACAGAAGGAAAGCCCGCUACAAACUUAAAAUGUGGUGGGUUCUCAGGAAGGAGGGACAUGACUUGAAGUGGAAAUGAGGAUUAAAUGAGGUGCUUUAAACAUUUCAAAGACAGAUUUUCCACAAGGAAUUUAGAGCAUAAGCCCUUAGAAUAAGAGCUCUGUCUGGGCCAGGCUGGGUAUAGUGUCUAGAAUUUGCACUUGCUGAAUGGAUGUGGGAACGCAAUCACACUUGUAGGGAAUGCCUACACCCUCUAACCAUCUGGGCCACCACUGUGCUUAUGGUCUUAAAAUGCAAUCUAGGGGGAUUUUCCUGUCCUCUGAGUCUGUCACUCUGUCAGACUCCUACUUUUCCAGAUGUUUGGUCUGGAAAUUCAGUCAAGGUAAGGCAACUGUUGAUGAUGUCACUAUACUUGGUUACCAUAGAAUAAUGCUUAGCUCUGAAAUCACCAACUGGGGGCUUUUCCAGACAGAGAAAUCAAGGCAGCAAGGACCUCAUGAGACUUGUCACUUAAUAGUUCUGGCUCUAUUUCUCUGUUUUUAAACAAGAAGAAUUUUCCUCAUCACACAAUUCAAGAGAGCUUGGGCAGUCCCAGGCUGCUUCCUGCUAAAUUCUUGGACUUUUUUUUGUCCUUCCUGACACCUUCUGCCAUGUUUUCAGUGCCUUCACUCCACAAACACGUCUUGAGAUCCCACUCUAUAAAGGUACUGGGAGUACCCAGCAGUGAGGAACCCAACAUGAAUUCAUCAGAGGUCACCUUCUCCCACUCUCACCUGGAUCCUGACCUCCUGGCUCCAACUUCCACACCAGGUCCCACAAUAGUAAAUGGCUUGCUUCUCCAGCCAGGGACCAUUGCUCAGACACUUCUGACAUCCUGGCAGCUCCCUGACAUCAUGUCCUCGGACCCCAGGUCCCUGUCCUGGUGAUAUCAAUUUGACAGCAGUUUUGGGCCCUCGGAAGCAGGGCUUGGGAAUGUUCUAGGUCCAACACUUGCAUUCUUUCCAGUCCUUUCUAGUUGUCAUUCCUUCAGCUCAUAAGAGCGCUGCUAAUGAUGACUGAGCUAGCUAGGCCUUACUUAGGAAGCAUCUCUUACAAUGAAAAUCCCAUAGUGACAUAAUUCUCCACUGUUCACAGGAAAAUGCUGGAUUAAACAAAUGACAGUGACUGUCUGGCAACGGAUGCACUGGAUAAUGCUUACCAGUUUUUCAGGUACAUAAUUCCAGCAAGAGACCCGAAACAAGAUGUACAAAAUGUCUCCCACUCCGUGAGGCUCCUGGUGGUGAACAUCCAGUCCUGGUCAUCCUCAUGCUCGCCACCCUCACAUGACUUGACUUCUGGCCUCAUGAGCUCUGCAGCUGCACCCUCCCACAACUUUAGAAGUACAAUCACAGAAUCCAGGGCUCCAAAGCGUGGACCCUUAUCCACCCUUAGCACCUGCCCCAGCAUGGGAAAGCUCUUCUCAGCUCCUUUGAGAUGGAGAUGCAGGUGGCAUGCAGGCGCCCUGACCUAUGGGAGACAAAGCGGAGCUGCAGGUGGAGGCCACGGCGUCGCUGCGGGGGUGUGAAUCAGCGGUGCUAUGUGCAGUCCUGGGGUCCCCUGAUGUCAGCUGGCCCCGCUUGUGGUGGGCCUGGGAGCAUCCACAGAGAACCUGGCCGGCGCAGACAAGCAGAAGUGACUCUUACCAGUGCCGACUUUUGUUCAGGCCCUGAGCCCAUCUUGCCUGGCUAACGGCUACAGUCCCUUGACGUCACUGGUCAAUUGCAGUCUUGCUCAUCUCCAGUCCCUUGUCCACGCCGCAGUGGAGUGAUUUAUCUAAAUGCAGUCCCAACCAUGUGAUUUUCCUCCGUAAAACCUACCGAUGGCUCUCGUUUGCCUUCAGGGUAACUCUUAGAUGGUCAACAAGGUCCCUCAACGUCUAGCCAUUGGCUGCCCUCUCCUGCCCCGUAUUUCCUCACACGUUCCUGGCCAUAAGCAAGUGUGAGAAGUGUUCUCCAGACACUUCUGAUUCUAGCCUCAUCUGUACCUUCAGAAUUUUUGCCGCCUUCUUCCCUCGGUCCAGAGCACCCUUCCUCUUUCUGGGCACCUAGCAAACACCUGCUUCUCCCCUUCAAGAACACAUCCUGAAAAUUCCCACCAUCCUGAAACCUCUCUUCAAGCACAGAGUCGACCACUUCCUCCUCUGAGCCGCUUUGGUGCCCUCUGUAAAGACAAUUACCCUUGACACUGCCAUGAUUGCUGUCCAGGCCUGAGACCCUUUCCAGUUUCACGAGGGCAGCAUGGAUUCUAAUUUCCAUACCCCUGGGACACACGGGAUCACCACAUCUAGAGAUGAGUGUCCCUAGAUGAAUGAAAGAAGAUAUAGAAGAGGAAACUGAGGCCCAGACAGGAGUAGUGACAUGGCUGACGUGCAGUCGGCAAGCCUGUAACUCCAGCGGCUCUGACCCCAGGGACUCUGGACCAUUCAUUUGUUCCUCAGUCACUUCCUAAGCGCCAGUGAGACUCCAGACACUGUGCUGUACCCUGAUACAAAGAUCCAGGAGCCACCUGGCCCUCAGGAGCCCACAGGCAGGUGGAACAGAAGGACCACGUCCUUUAUUACAAACUGUGACGGAGGGUGUAGCAGCGGCUGCAGGAAAUCCAGGGACAUGGUGGUGAGAGGAAGCCACUAGCUCUGGCUGAAUGUUUGUUUCCCCAUCAAAAUUCGUACAUUGAGGGGCUGGGGUUGUGGCGCAGAGGAAGAGUGCUCGCCUUGUAUGUGUGAGACACUGGGUUUGAUCCUCAGCACCACAUAAAUAUAAAAUAAAGAUAUUGUG